rnacentral:rRNA from 1 species
UGAGGCGCGCCGAGUUUGAUCCUGGCUCAGGAUGAACGCUGGCGGCGUGCCUAAUACAUGCAAGUCGAACGCAACACUUCGGUGUUGAGUGGCGAACGGGUGAGUAACACGUAGAUAACCUGCCCUUAAGACGAGGAUAACCGUUGGAAACGAUGGCUAAGACUGGAUAGGAAUAUUUGAGGCAUCUUGAAUAUUUUAAAAGACCUAGCAAUAGGUAUGCUUAAGGAGGGGUCUGCGGCGCAUUAGUUAGUUGGUGGGGUGAUGGCCUACCAAGACGAUGAUGCGUAACCGGACUGAGAGGUUGAACGGCCACAUUGGGACUGAGAGACGGCCCAAACUCCUACGGGAGGCAGCAGUAGGGAAUUUUCGGCAAUGGGGGCAACCCUGACCGAGCAACGCCGCGUGAAUGACGAAGUACUUCGGUAUGUAAAGUUCUUUUAUCAAGGAAGAAUGGCUCGUGGAAAAACGAGAUUGACGGUACUUGAUGAAUAAGCCCCGGCUAACUAUGUGCCAGCA